rnacentral:rRNA from 1 species
GCAGUAGGGAAUCUUCCGCAAUGGACGAAAGUCUGACGGAGCAACGCCGCGUGAACGAUGAAGGUUUUCGGAUCGUAAAGUUCUGUUGUUAGGGAAGAACAAGUACCGUUCAAAUAGGGCGGUACCUUGACGGUACCUAACCAGAAAGCCACGGCUAACUACGUGCCAGCAGCCGCGGUAAUACGUAGGUGGCAAGCGUUGUCCGGAAUUAUUGGGCGUAAAGCGCGCGCAGGCGGUUUUUUAAGUCUGAUGUGAAAUCUCGAGGCUCAACCUCGAGCGGCCAUUGGAAACUGGGAGACUUGAGUGCAGAAGAGGAGAGUGGAAUUCCAUGUGUAGCGGUGAAAUGCGUAGAUAUAUGGAGGAACACCAGUGGCGAAGGCGACUCUCUGGUCUGUAACUGACGCUGAGGCGCGAAAGCGUGGGGAGCAAACAGGAUUAGAUACCCUGGUAGUCCACGCCGUAAACGAUGAGUGCUAGGUGUUAGGGGUUUCGAUGCCCUUAGUGCCGAAGUUAACACAUUAAGCACUCCGCCUGGGGAGUACGACCGCAAGGUUGAAACUCAAAGGAAUUGACGG